GUAAAUGGCUGACAGGGAGGACUCAUCAAAAUCAUAUCAAAAGACAAUCUGUCAAAUUCUUUCAGUGUAAUGCCCUCAAUUGUCUUCGCCCAUAAUGGUGUGCUGGGAAAGUUGUGCUUAUAAACUUCAUUGGCAAGAGUGUUCACAUCCACAGCAGCAACAACUUCUGCACAUAUGCAGCUUUCUUUCAGAGCCUGGUGCAUCCCCCCGAUGCCGCUGUACAGCUCCAGCACCCUCAGCGCCGCCAUGGCUCGGCGUACGGAACGGCCCUCCCGACCGCCUCCCCGAGCUCCGCCCGUCCGUUCCGCCGCUCUUUCGUUCCCCCCUGCCCGCCCUCUUCCUUCCCGCUCGCCCGGCGGCUCCGUGCCAGUCCCCGCCCGCCGCGCAGCCACUGAUGGAGCACUGAGGAGCGCUGAGGAGAGCUUCACUGUGGCACUGCUACUUGCUCAUUAACCCCGUACAGGGGUUAGGCCCUGCGGACGAAGCCACCCCUUGGAACAGCCUGUCCCCUCACCUGUGAGGGGCUUCAGUGCCAUUCAGUGGGGGCUUUAUCAGCGCUUCCCAAACCACACAGGGUGGGCACGGGAAGAGAAGGGAUAAGGGGACCGUGAAAGGGCCGUGCCCACCGUCCGGGGACGGUGCCAGCCUGCCGUCUGGCUGGGCAGCUGAUGCUGAUGGCGUGUGGCAGUUCUGCGGGCCUCAGCAAUUCUCCUUUUUAUUUGCAGGAGUGAUGUUAGCUUGUGGGGAUGGUUUGAAAAGCUGUUUCAAAGCCUGCACUGCUGGUGGAAUAGGAAGGAAGGAAAUAACUGGUGAAACUGUUCUAAUUUGUCUUAACGUUGUGAAAUUGCUUUCCCUAGAUUAAAGAAAUGACUCAGAAACAUUGUUGCCCCUGAAAAGCAGCCAGUUUGUAACAGUAGGUGCCAGACAGAUGCAUUUGCACCUAUACAUAAAACCCAAAGGGUAAAUAUCCUGCAGAGUAAAACGUGGACUACUCUCCUCCCACAAGCAAAGACACUUGCCUAUGCCCCAGUUCACAGAUGGAGAGUCUAAAGUGAGGAUGAAACCUGAAGCAAAUAAAUUAAAAAUCUGGACACGUUUCUUGAGUUAUUUCUUAAGUUGAUCGCAUUUUUCUGGCACCUCCUGGAAACCUGUGAAAAAUAAGGUGUAUUUCUGGACUACUAAUCAGAAACACGAUUCAAAGAAUAUUAGCUCUUGCCGGCUUCUUUUGAAAAAGUUCUGUCAUUCCCUGUGGAUGUUCACCACCAGAGUCAGGGGCUGUUGCUUUACCUGUCAGCCAUGGAAGUAAGCGCAUGACUGAGAAAAGAAACCCAAGGCCUACUUUGACUAUGUCUGAAAGGAAGUGCAGCAGUUUGAGAUACCAAGGAGGAGAGCAGGAAGUGGUGAGACAGUUUGCACAAACAGCAAUGGAGAACUGAGAAAGGUGGCUGAAUCACACAGCAUAACAAAGCGGGGAAUACGCUGGCCGGAGAAAGCAGGCAUUGGACAAAGAUGGUGCGGAAAGCUCUGAAGGUGAGGAUUCAGGGUGAAGGCGGCUGGGAUGAACAAGGUUGGUGUCUGCUAAGAUGGCAAACUUCAGUAGGAGCCCUUUAAAAUAUAGAUAGGAGGUGAAGGUAAAGAAAAACACAGCUUUUAGACUACUGAAAUUAGUGAAGCUGAUGAGUGAUUUUUAUCUCCUUGUAUCACUAGUGCAACGAUUUAUAUACAAUCUAUAUACAUCAUAGCAAAGCUAAUGAGCUGUAGGCAGUCAGGAGCAGUUCAUCUAUUUGGAGCUGCCCAAUUCCCAUAGCAAUUAAAGCUACAGAGGAGCAGCAUUUCCUUAUAUCAGAAGGAGAGAGAGAGUUGAGCCCUGUUUUUUGCUUUCCUUUCCCCAACCCCACAAUAUUCUUGCCAUUUACAUACAGUAAAGAUGGAGACCGGUGAAGAAAGUGGAUAUCUGCCGUAUUCAUGUCAGUGGAAAAUUCUUUACUCAGGGGAAUUUCCCUGCCUACCUCCUCUGUGUGUAGCAAACCAGAGAGACUGCUCAGCACACCUCCACUCUGGCAACAAAGAAAUUCAUAGACUAGGCUGAGAUUUUAUUGGCUUAAUCUUGUAAGGAGUGGAAAACACCAACAUUUCCCUUGUGCUCAUUUUUAAACAACUUCCAGUAACCAGUUUUAGAAAUCUCUGCCCUGGCUUGGUUCUCCUUAUUAAUUGAUAGCUACGAAAAAGACAACAAUCAAAGCAAUCUGGAAACGAUUACUUUUAGUGUUCUUCACUUUAUAAAUAUAAAGCCAGCAUAACAAUAAUAAUCUUUUGACCAGACAUUUUGUAAUAGAUUUUAAGGUAGGCUGUCUAUUCCAGAGAUGGGAGCAAUGGCUGAGAAGUACCAAGAUCAGCAGCCACUCAC
rnacentral:lncRNA from 1 species